rnacentral:lncRNA from 1 species
UUGGAACUUGUGGCGGCUGUCUUAACUGCAAAAAUGAGUGUCAUGCUGAAAACAGAGCUUGAAAUGAAGAUUGAUCAAGAAUUUUUCUGGACCGAUUCACAGGUUGUUCUGGCAUAUAUUAACAACGAAGCACGAAGGUUUCAUGUAUUCGUUGCUAACCGUGUGCAGCUGAUAAGAGACAUUACGGAUCAGAGUCAGUGGUAUUACAUUAAUACAACAGAGAACCCAGCUGAUCACGCCUCUAGAGGGCUUCACGCCGCUGACAUUCCUUCAUCGAUCUGGUUAUCAGGACCAAAAUUUCUGUGGGAACAAAAAGUAAGUCCAACACCGUACACCUCUGUCAACCUGCUUGUUGGUGACCCUGAAGUUAAAUCAGUCCAAACAUUCGCAACCACGGUCAAUAACAGUACAGACAUUCUCAGUCGUUUCAGUCGAUUUUCUUCUUGGUCAAUGCUUUUAAAGGUUGUUGCAAGGAUAAAAAGACUAGGAUCAAAACAGAAAUACCCCAGUGAUCAUGUGACUGUUGAGGAGCGUCAGAGGGCUGCUGAAGUGGUGAUCAAACUUGUCCAGCAGGAAGCAUUCUCCAAAGAAAUAAGAAUGACCGAGAAGGGGAACACUUUUCCAAGUGCUAGUGCGUUGUACUACCUAGAUCCCAUUUUGGACAAAGGUCUUCUUCGUGUAGGUGGAAGACUGAGAAAGUCAUCACUCAGUCAAGAACUAAAACAUCCCGUGAUUCUCCCAAAAGAUAGUUACAUCACUAAGCUAAUUCUGUCACAUUACCACGCCAAGGUUUGUCAUCAGGGUCGAAAUCAAACUCAAAUGGAGCUUAGAAUGAAUGGAUUUUGGAUCAUUGGAGGCAGCAAGUCAAUCGCCAAGCUGAUACACAAGUGUGUGCAAUGUCGAAAACUUAGACGACCGACAGAAGAACAACGAAUGGCAGAACUUCCCAAAGAGCGUGUUGAAGUAUCUGCACCCUUCACAUUCUGCGGCAUGGACUGUUUUGGGCCAUUUGUCAUAAAAAGAGCUCGCAAGGAGUACAAGAGAUACGGCCUAAUAUUCACCUGUCUAUCAUCUCGCGCA